rnacentral:rRNA from 2 species
AACGCUGGCGGCGAUGCCUAAUACAUGCAAGUCGAACGAACUCUGGGUAAUGAUUGGUGCUUGCAUCAUGAAUUACAUUUGAGUGAGUGGCGAACUGGUGAGUAACACGUGGGAAACCUGCCCAGAAGCGGGGGAUAACACCUGGAAACAGAUGCUAAUACCGCAUAACAACUUGGACCGCAUGGUCCGAGUUUGAAAGAUGGCUUCGGCUAUCACUUUUGGAUGGUCCCGCGGACGUAUUAGCUAGAUGGUGAGGUAACGGCUCACCAUGGCAAUGAUACGUAGCCGACCUGAGAGGGUAAUCGGCCACAUUGGGA